CUGACUUCCUGAGCAGCCACUAUAAAUAACUGCCCUUUAUUGGAUAUAUUUGGGAGGGGGACAUUUUCAGUAGAAAAAAGUUUAGGGUUAGAAUGCUGUAUUACCAAUAGAUGCUUGAUGUCCGAAGCAUUGCUCCAGUAUCUCACUUACUGCUCAUCUGUGUAAUAAAGGAUUUAUUGGUAGUUUGAAAAAAUGGAGAACAAGACUCAUUUUGUUGAAGACUCAGAGGAUGAAAUAAUUGUGCAAAGCUGAUUCAAAAGUCCAAAUGAUGUAGUGUCCAGGGCGACUGAUAGAUGUGAAAAAGAAACAGAUUUGCUUAGGAAGAUCAACAACACAGUUAAAUGCAUCUGUUGAUCCUUAUUAAAAAGAGUAAGUUGUAACAGAAUAACAGACAAAGGGGAGAAAUCCAAUUAAAUUUUAGAAUUAUCAAGAAAUGUGUGAAAUGAGACCAUGAUCAACACCCUUAUUUAAAGAGACCCCACUGGGUAUGACAGACCCUGU
rnacentral:lncRNA from 1 species